GCUUCCUUGGCUCAGUUAGUAGAGUGUUGGUCUCAUAAUACAACAUGAGGGUUGACUUGACUCAAUCUUCAAUCCAAAGGUAGGCAGUAUGAGCCUGCCAGGGAGCA